UGUAUCAACCUUAUUCUAAUUAAGUCCUUGGAAUAAGAUAAUACAUGUCCAUAGCCCUCUUGAAGUCAAUUUAAAUUACCAAAUAGCAAUGGCCAUUAAUUUCCUCCGGAGUUUCUUCUCAUACGCUUGGCUACAAAUAGCCGAAACGAAUUGACCAUUUUUUGCAAUUCGCAUUAAGAUCUCAAAUAGAGGAGUGAGAUUGAGCUGCAGGAAGAGGGAAAAAGAUGCGCGGCCCUUAUUGCCACACAACAUGUAGUUCAUGCCGUCCAUGUGGCUCAUAUGGUUGCCAGAACAUCUACAUAGGAGGUGGAGGCGGUGGUGGCGGCGGUGGCGGUGCUGGCGGCGGCGGUGGAUCCGGAAUUUACCAAAUAGUUGUUCAAUCAGGAGGGACGAUCAUCAUCAAUUAAAUACAAGUUGUAUGAUUUAUCGUAAAGUUACUCCCUUCGUACUACUUUAAGACUUACGUGUUGGGCUCAUCACCUUCAUGAUGUUGAGUCUCAUGGAUGGGUAAUGUUAUUUCUAUUUUGCAUUGUUUGCAUUUGCUAUGGUUGAACUUAAUUAUGGAAGUUGAUAUUCGAACUAUUAAGUGUUGUA